rnacentral:lncRNA from 1 species
UUCUGUCCUUUUGCUUUGUCUGCACAGAUCUUUGUGAAGUAGACUCUUGAGAACAUUAUGCUCAGCCUGUGUAAAUUACAACAGUUCCACAGUGGAUGUCAAAAGAAUUAGCUAUGUAUUGAGAAGGAUUCUUCUUUUCUCAAGCUGAAUCAUUAACUGCUGUCUUCACAAAUGCAUAAAAUGCACCAAGAGAAAGAUCCCUCAGCUGAAUGUUUUUGGGUCCAUAACCCUUUGGAGGAAGAUGACAUUUUCUAUGGAAAUCUGUGCUACACUAUUAGAUUAAAAUACAUGAGGCAGGUACGUACUGAAGGA